CACAACUACCUUCAUUGCAAGGUAGGUACUGUUAUCAUCAUAUAUGAGUGAGGGAAGAGAAGAAAUGAAUUCACAUCCCCAAAGUCACAGAACUGGAAUUCAAAUCCAAACAAUCUAAAUAAUGAACUGAGCAACAAACAGGUGGCAUGUUAGGCCUUACUAGAAGGCAUAAGUCGAGAGCUACCACAAAUGAAACAAUUAUUCUUGUUAAAUGUUUGCCCAAGAAAAUUUCUAACCAAAGAAAUUAAAUUCCAUUUGAAAUCAAUGUGUUCAGUAUGUUAUGUGGAUCCUUUUCAUAUUAGACAAUGUAAAAAUAAUUUAAUUGCCUGACACAUCCUGUAUGGUAAGUGAUUCCUGAAAUAAGGAUUCUGAUGUGAAUUCUUACAUUUCUUAAGUACUUCAUUAGAAAUUCUAUUGUUCAUAAAAUUUUUACCAGAUGAAAACUUUAAUUCGUUGACUCACUUUUUACUUUCCUCCUGGAGUUUACCAAACGAGAACCAGAAGAUACGAAAAGUGCAGAUUCUGAUCGAGAUGUUUUUAAUGAGAAACCUUCUAAAGAAGAAGUCAUGGCAGCUACUCAAGCUGAAGGACCUAAACGAGUUUCGGACAGUGCCAUUAUCCACACCAGCAUGGGAGACAUUCACACCAAACUUUUUCCUGUUGAGUGCCCUAAGACAGUGGAAAACUUCUGUGUUCACAGCAGAAAUGGUUAUUAUAAUGGGCAUACAUUUCACCGUAUAAUUAAGGGCUUUAUGAUUCAGACUGGAGAUCCAACAGGUACUGGUAUGGGAGGAGAAAGCAUAUGGGGAGGAGAAUUUGAAGAUGAAUUUCAUUCAACAUUACGACAUGACAGGCCGUACACACUCAGCAUGGCUAACGCGGGAUCAAAUACUAAUGGAUCCCAGUUUUUCAUAACAGUAGUACCAACGCCUUGGCUUGAUAAUAAGCAUACAGU
rnacentral:sRNA from 1 species